rnacentral:rRNA from 1 species
CCCUUAGAUGUUCUGGGCUGCACGCGCGCUACACUGAAGCGUUCAACGAGUAUUUCACCUUGCCCGGGAGGGUUGGGUAAUCUUUUUAAAACGCUUCGUGAUGGGGAUAGAUUAUUGCAAUUAUUAAUCUUCAACGAGGAAUUCCUAGUAAGCGCGAGUCAUCAGCUCGUGCUGAUUACGUCCCUGCCCUUUGUACACACCGCCCGUCGCCCCUACCGAUUGAGUGAUCCGGUGAAUAAUUCGGACUGCAGCAGUGCUUGGUCCUCCGGGCUUUGCAGCGGAAAGUUUAGUGAACCUUAUCACUUAGAGGAAGGAGAAGUCGUAACA